rnacentral:rRNA from 1 species
GACGAACGCUGGCGGCGUGCCUAAUACAUGCAAGUAGAACGCUGAAGGAGGAGCUUGCUUCUCUGGAUGAGUUGCGAACGGGUGAGUAACGCGUAGGUAACCUGCCUGGUAGCGGGGGAUAACUAUUGGAAACGAUAGCUAAUACCGCAUAAGAGUAGAUGUUGCAUGACAUUUGCUUAAAAGGUGCAAUUGCAUCACUACCAGAUGGACCUGCGUUGUAUUAGCUAGUUGGUGAGGUAACGGCUCACCAAGGCGACGAUACAUAGCCGACCUGAGAGGGUGAUCGGCCACACUGGGACUGGGACACGGCCCAGACUCCUACGGGAGGCAGCAGUAGGGAAUCUUCGGCAAUAGACGGAAGUCUGACCGGGCAACGCCGCGUGAGUGAAGAAGGUUUUCGGAUCGUAAAGCUCUGUUGUAAGAGAAGAACGAGUGUGAGAGUGGAAAGUUCACACUGUGACGGUAUCUUACCAGAAAGGGACGGCUAACUACGUG